UAGGGGAAUCUUCCACAAUGGGCGCAAGCCUGAUGGAGCAACACCGCGUGAGUGAAGAAGGGUUUCGGCUCGUAAAGCUCUGUUGUUAAAGAAGAACACGUAUGAGAGUAACUGUUCAUACGUUGACGGUAUUUAACCAGAAAGUCACGGCUAACUACGCGCCAG
rnacentral:rRNA from 1 species